UAGUCCACGCUGUAAACGAUGAAUGCUAGCCGUUGGGGUGCAUGCACCUCAGUGGCGCCGCUAACGCAUUAAGCAUUCCGCCUGGGGAGUACGGUCGCAAGAUUAAAACUCAAAGGAAUUGACGGGGGCCCGCACAAGCGGUGGAGCAUGUGGUUUAAUUCGACGCAACGCGCAGAACCUUACCAUCCCUUGACAUGGCAUGUUACAUGGAGAGAUCCAUGGUCCUCUUCGGAGGCGUGCACAC
rnacentral:rRNA from 1 species